ACAAGCCCAGCAGUAGGAAUCCAAACUCAGCCACCAUGAUCAUACCCUGAGUCAAGGAAGCUGGUCUAGCUCCGACGAUGCUGCUGCGCCAUCCGUCGCCUCCGGUGAGCUCCUUGGGUUCCCUUCUCCCUUUUGUGCAUUCUCCGUGCUGCCACAGCCGUGGCGAUUCUGCGCUCUUCCUUCGUGCAGUGUCGCAGGAUUCUUUGUGCUUUAUAGUAAACGGUCAAAGUAGCAGAUGUGAUAGCUUUUUCCCCUUCCGAAAUAUAUAUAGCAUCAUGGAAGCAUUAUGGUUCAUGUGUUAACAUUUCCUUUUUUUUUUCUGUGUGUAGAUAUCUGACACCAAGAUGGUGACUGGUCUUGUGAGUGGCAGCCAAAUGUAGGCGUGUAUUCUCUUAAACUACGACAUGCCUGAUUCUGCUGAUACAUACUUGCAACUGUGCAGCCUAAAACUGUUAUAGGCUGAUAGCAUCCCUGACGAUUGCUCCCACCCGAUGGCCAUUCAGUCUGGUUAACUAACUGGAUGGAACAAGCCCACCAGCCGAAUCCAAACUCCGCAACCAUCAUACCUGACCCUUCGGCCUUCGGUCUGGUCUGGGUCCGACAAUGCUGCUGCGCCAUCCGUCGCAUCCGAUAUCUGACACCAAGAUGGCGACUAGUCUUGUGAGUGGCAGCCAAAUGUAGGCGCGUACUGUCAUAACUACGACAUGCCUGAUUCUGCUGAUACAUACUUGCAACUGCCUAAAAGUGUGAUAGCACUCUUUGUUUUGCUGAUGAAGGACUACUGGAUAAUUCAUUUCGGACCAAGGGUGAUGCAGACUCUGGGAUAAUUGGCCAAGUUAGAGGAAGGGGCUUUAGACACGAGAAGACCAACACCAAGCGUGUUGGUGGUGCUGUCCACUGUAGCUGCUGCCGGCGUCCACUAUGGUCUGCGCCCCCUGCCUUCGACUGUGACAUGUCCUACAGCGGUGUCCUUCUUUGACUACAUGUGUUCAGGCAAUGCAACUUCAGAAGGCUGGUAGCAUCGCAGGCAAGCCUGUAGGGUGGAAGGAUUCCCUUUGCUUGUGAAACCAAUUGAAUACCUGGGCUGUAUUGGUUGCGGACUGUUAUUUGUCAUUCCACUUCUGUACUGUUGGGGGUAGUUGACAAAGUAUCGUUGUUCUUGUGAUGCUCCAGACUGUAGCAUAUGUUUGUCUAGACUUGUGAUGGAGUUGGGUUGUGCCGUUGCACUUUUAUUGUUUAUUGUUUGGAUUGUGAUCUGGUUGCCCCCAAAACAGGGGAUGUUAUGCUUAAAUUUUCUAAGAAUUGGAAUAAUUAUCUGCCACUUUUCCCUCCAAA